rnacentral:rRNA from 1 species
GAUGAACGCUGGCGGCAUGCCUAACACAUGCAAGUCGAACGAGACCUUCGGGUCUAGUGGCGCACGGGUGCGUAACGCGUGGGAAUCUGCCCUUGGGUUCGGAAUAACAGCUAGAAAUGGCUGCUAAUACCGGAUGAUGACGUAAGUCCAAAGAUUUAUCGCCCAGGGAUGAGCCCGCGUAGGAUUAGCUAGUUGGUGAG